rnacentral:tRNA from 1 species
CGGGGCGUAGCGCAGUUUGGCUAGCGCGUCGGACUGGGGGUCCGAAGGUCGCAGGUUCGAGUCCUGUCGCCCCGA